rnacentral:miRNA from 2 species
UGGGUUUAUGUUGGGAGAACU